UACAGAGGGUGCAAGCGUUAAUCGGAAUUACUGGGCGUAAAGCGUGCGUAGACGGUUAUGUAAGUCAGGUGUGAAAGCCCAGGGCUCAACCUUGGAAUUGCAUUUGAGACUGCAUAGCUAGGGUGCGGAAGAGGGAAGCGGAAUUUCCGGUGUAGCGGUGAAAUGCGUAGAUAUCGGAAGGAACACCAGUGGCGAAAGCGGCUUCCUGGUCCCAGCACCGACGUUCAGGCACGAAAGCGUGGGGAGCAAACAGG
rnacentral:rRNA from 1 species